rnacentral:rRNA from 1 species
UUGAACGCUGGCGGUAUGCUUUACACAUGCAAGUCGAACGGGCUAUGGGGCUUGCUCCAUAGUUAGUGGCGAACGGGUGAGUAAUAUAUCGGAACAUAUCCGGAAGUGGGGGAUAACGUAGCGAAAGUUACGCUAAUACCGCAUACGUCCUGAGGGAGAAAGCGGGGGACCGUAAGGCCUCGCGCGAUUGGAGCGGCCGAUGUCGGAUUAGCUAGUUGGUGGGGUAAAGGCCUACCAAGGCGACGAUCCGUAGCGGGUCUGAGAGGAUGAUCCGCCACACUGGGACUGAGACACGGCCCAGACUCCUACGGGAGGCAGCAGUGGGGAAUUUUGGACAAUGGGGGCAACCCUGAUCCAGCCAUGCCGCGUGAGUGAAGAAGGCCUUCGGGUUGUAAAGCUCUUUCAGACGGAAAGAAAACGCAUCGGUGAAUACCCGGUGUGGAUGACGGUACCGUAAGAAGAAGCACCGGCUAACUACGU